AGCAUUUUUUCACACAUGUCCAAAACAUCCGAAAGUCUCUAAAACAAGUUAGGGGGACAGCCAAAUGUCACCUAGACCUGGAACAGAGAGGAAAGGGGGGGCAGAGGGAUAGGAAGGGGAGACAAGAGAGAGAGAGAGAGAGAUAGAUGUAGAGAGAUGGGGAGACAGGAGAGAGAGAGAGAGAUGUAGAGAGAUGGGGAGACAGGAGAGAGAGAGAGAGAUAGAUGUAGAGAGAUGGGGAGACAGGAGAGAGAUGGGGAGACAGGAGAGAGAGAGAUGUGGAGAGAUGGGGAGACAGGAGAGAGAGAGAGAUGUAGAGAGAUGGGGAGACAGGAGAGAGAGAGAGAUGUAGAGAGAUGGGGAGACAGGAGAGAGAGAGAGA
ensembl:lncRNA